rnacentral:pre_miRNA from 1 species
GUGGGCAUCUUACCGGACAGUGCUGGACUUCUCGGCUCGACUCUAACACUGUCUGGUAACGAUGUUCAA